rnacentral:lncRNA from 1 species
AUGCCCCAAAGAGGAUCUUCUUCCUCUUUUUCUCCUGCACGGAUGCCCACUCCUCUUUCUCAGAUCUCUCACACCCUCUCUAAGAGUUUCUCACACCAAAACUAAAGUGGUUUGGUGCACAAAAAAACACUCCCUUUUAAGAUAGCAUCCCAUAUAGAGAUUGGAUAAUUUGGUUCAGCUUCAAACGGCCUUCAAUCUUAUCA